GAUGAACGCUGGCGGCGUGCCUAAUACAUGCGAGUCGAGCGAACGGACGAGAAGCUUGCUUCUCUGAUGUUAGCGGCGGACGGGUGAGUAACACGUGGAUAACCUACCUAUAAGACUGGGAUAACUUCGGGAAACCGGAGCUAAUACCGGAUAAUAUUUUGAACCGCAUGGUUCAAAAGUAAAAGACGGUCUUGCUGUCACUUAUAGAUGGAUCCGCGCUGCAUUAGCUAGUUGGUAAGGUAACGGCUUACCAAGGCAACGAUGCAUAGCCGACCUGUGAGGGUGAUCGGCCACACUGGAACUGAGACACGGUCCAGACUCCUACGGGAGGCAGCAGUAGGGAAUCUUCCGCAAUGGGCGAAAGCCUGACGGAGCAACGCCGCGUGAGUGAUGAAGGUCUUCGGAUCGUAAAACUCUGUUAUUAGGGAAGAACAUAUGUGUAAGUAACUGUGCACAUCUUGACGGUACCUAAUCAGAAAGCCACGGCUAACUACGUG
rnacentral:rRNA from 1 species